rnacentral:tRNA from 1 species
GCGGGCAUCGUCCAAAAGUAGGACCACAGUCUUCCAAACUGAAAAUGAGGGUGCGAGUCCCUCUGUCCGCUCCG